UUGAACAAAGUAGUGCGACGAGAAGGCGUCUGUCUUUGGCUAUGGCCAAUUUGCCAGCGAAUGCUCGAAUGCUAAAGAACAACGGAACCACAUUAUACUAGCGUCCUGUGCGGGUCUCUCGUCGUCCAGGACCAAGUCACUGCCGGCCGUGAGCCUGAUUUUGUUGCGGACAAAGAAAAAGGCACAGCCGCACCGGCAGGCUCGUGUGUUUGGCGAGCAAACACCACGUCUGGAUGUCACAAUGAUGCCUUUCUUCUGUAUGUGAAGAAAUUUUGCAGUUUUCCUUAAACUACUAUUAGCACCAUUGCUACAAAUCUAGCUAAUGAAGCAGGCCAGUGAAAAAAUGCCUCGCUCGUCUAGUUUCGUAUGCCCCAAGCCUCGCCGCUAUCCCAAGAAGCAGAUGACACGAAAUCGAUGUUAACAGACGUGUUAGUCAACAGAUUUAACGGGGCUGCGCAUUUAUCGUAUGCGUCAGGUUUAAGAAAGGAUAAAAGAAAACAUUCUUUUAUGGAAUAAAUGCAAGCUGAAACAAUAGGACCAGAUUCAGGCUAAUUUAUUCUUUGAACUGUUACGAUGUUCUUCUCGGUGCGAUAUAGGACAACUGUCGGUAGACGUAUGCGACCUAUUACACAUGUAUUUGACAAUGUGUCACGUUCCUAAAUAUGCUAGCGAACGAAAAAGAAGCUAAGUACUGACACAGGUGUAGUCGAUAGGACCAAGCGCAACAUUACAAUCAUACGAUUCCUAGGGUGACAUCUGGGACGCUCACCCCAUAGCAUGUUCAAAGCACAAAGUAGACAAUAACGAAGCACACCCUUAGUCAACCGCAAAGCGACGAGACGUGUUUGAGCUUGUUCUCAGCUACCUACUACGACCUACCGAUGCCUAUCUGAGAAAUUAACGUGUAAAAUUUGUCUAAUAACCCUUAUAGGAUGUGAAGCUAGGCACGUCCUGAAAUCCCUGAUCUUUUUUCGCUUACGUAGGGCACGGCCUGAAAUGGAACACAGUUCCACGUAUGCGUCUGCACCAGUUGGUACGAAUUCUGCUAUAGCUAUUUGUCGUAAUCAGCUCAUUGCUUAACUGUUCGUAAACACUAGUGUUCGAUCACUGCGUCACCGACUUCGCGCAGCGGGUAACACCAUUGUGUGUGCGCAUUGUUGCAAGCUAUAGAGCCCAUAUCCCCCGAGGAGGUUUUCGGGCAGUGAGUGUUGCACUUCGCGGCCUACAAAGGAUAGUAGCGGCGAUGGGUAUUGAACGGGUGCCGGCACACGACAUCGCCCGCGUCAAGCGAAUCGGCGAAAAAAAGCAGCAGCAGCAGCAAUAACAAUAACAGCCGCAGUGGAGAUUUCCUCGAUGGCCAGUUGAAGUCUGGUUACUGCCGAGUAGGUCUGGUGUAUAAUGCACAGGCAUAUCGAAGUGGGCGGUCCAUGCGACCCUAAUUUAUGAAAGACUGAUGCGUCGGUAGCCAUCGUCGGUAUCCCCGUUCAACGACGGAACGAGCCACGUGCUCAAAAAUAGGUUAGCCGCUGAAGCAGUAGCAGUAACAAAACCUGCAACAGCUGCCGCAGCAAUGGCAUCAGUGACGCCUGACGUGUCGUGGUGAGUGGCAGCAAGGAUCUAUAUAUAACUGUCGCUACUGGUAACACCCAGAACACCCGCGUCUGCACCUGAGCAAGGGUGCUACGAAACCAUGGUCUGACAGUAAAAUUUAGAAUGAACCCAACGAACGACAGCAUCAUCAUUCAAUAUUGUCGCUAGCCAAUACUAAGCGUUUUCCUGUCUAUAUACGUUUUAUCGUUACAACCGACAGGCGUUCUCGUGCUACUACGUUUUCUGUCUCGAGCGCCCUGGUCAUCUCCGAUGCCAGCUAGAGAAGGGAACACAUCGUGACUCGGGACCACGACAAGCCUUUUCGUCUUCGAUAUGGUCAUGAGGCUCGGCCAGACUUCAUCUCGUCGUCGAACUCAUCCCCUUCCCCUCCGGGGUUGACGACUUCAGAUCCUUCGUCAUCAGUCGGGGCCCGCUUCAGAGUACCCCGUUGUCCGCAGAAUGCAACCAGUCCAGUAGCAGCGGCUUCCGCAGCAGCAGGAGCGGCAUUGGAGCACCGAAAUGAAGGCGGCGUCGGCGGUUGACGCCGGCAACAUUCUCCGCCAGAAGCAGCAGCGCAAGGAUGAGUGAGGUGUGCAUGCUGCUCCAGCUGCUGCUGCUGCUGCUGCUGCUACUUCUGAUCGGUCGUAUUCGCUGCGACGCUGGCGGUUGAAGUCACCGCUCGCAGCUCCUGUGGCCAUUACUGGUACUUCCGAGGCAGCGAAUGAACAGAAUGAGCUGGCUCGGAACUCAAUGAGAAUCGGCUGGUUGAUUCGCUGUUGGUGGAAGAAAACGCUGCUGAUCCUUGACCCCUGGACCUUUUUCUUCAACCGACAGAAGUAGUAGUCGUCAUAGUAGUGCUAGCAGCAAACAACCCCCGCGAUGAGGCACGAUGAUCGUCGAUGUGUACGUUAGCGGCAAUAACGAUAGCAACGGCAAUAGCCACAAGCCUUCAGACAUGCUGGUUUGUUCAAUUGGCUUGUCCAACAAGACAGAACGACUGACUAAAGCAGACCACCAGUAGAACGCCAGUAUGGAAUGAAAUGGUCUAUAAGCGAUGUCUGUCGUAGCAUAGACAACUGCCGAUGAGAAACAACGCCAGCCAGCGAGACAAUCAGCAAGUCAGCCAAGCAAUUGCCGUCGCCAAUAGCUCUUGGUCAUCUUUUUCUUCUUUUACCACCAAAGCUAUGCCUGAACUCCAAUCUGUUACCUUUCCCUUUAUUUCUUCCCGCGCUCCUUACCGUCUCCUUGAUUCGGCUCCACGUCGCUGCCGAAGCCACUCCCCCACCGAUAAACGGCAACCGACGAUUACGCUCGUUCGAGAUACAAGUAAUGAUACCGAGCGGAUACGACGGAAUCGAGGACUUCAAACUGAACUUCUCAAUCUAUCCACUCGUUACCCUGUGGAUGGCUGAAAUAACUGUAAUAGCGCAGGGUACAGAUCUUCGUAAACGAACCGUUGAGAAAAAAAAAAA